GAAGCGUGCCAGAGUCCGGCUGAAUGACGAUGCCUCGAAUGCAGGUGGUCGCAGCAAUGCGGUGCGAGAGUUCGAACCUCUCCGCUUCCG
rnacentral:tRNA from 1 species